CCUCUUUGUUAUAUUUUUGAAAAAAACCUUAAUAAUAAAUUACUAUUACUAUUAUUAUAAUAUUAAAAAGGUCUCUUCGUGAAGUGUGUUGCACUUUCAACUAUUCAUCUUCUUCUUCCUCUCAAAACCCUAACACCGUUGCUGCCCGUGGUCUGCCACAACUGUUCGUCAUUGUUACCCAACUCCUUAACGUCCACCAUACGGACGAGUCACCAUUUGUCAAAGAACGCUAGCCAAAUGAAGAUCUUCAUCACAAAGCCUCUCCUUCGAUUCGGUUUAACGUUGUCGUCUCCUCUGCGCAGCGUCAUCAUCUCCGUCUAUCUCCCUCACGAGCCCUUCCCCUUACUGAGCCAACUCUAGUUAUCCGAGUCAAGAUCUCCUGUAACUGAGUCGUUUCGAGCCACGAGCCCCCCUCCUUCCUUCAUCUUGUUGAGCCAAGCCAUUAGUUAACCAAGUUGAGUCACUUUAGUAUUUUGUGAGGAUUUGAUUGGGUUUUAGCUAUGCCCAUCAAAUAAUAAUUUUUAGUCCUAAAUAAUUUAAUUUUUGGAUUAAAGUGAAUUAUUGUGUUUGAAAGUUGUUGGCUAAUAUUUGGAACAAAUUGUGGAAUUUUCCCAACUAAGCUCGUUCAUUUGGUCUCAACUUAGCUUUGGGGUAAGUUU
rnacentral:lncRNA from 1 species